GAAGAAGGGGAGCAGGCUUCUGAGUACCCUGGGGCACGUUGCCUCCCCCCCAACACGAAUGCUCCAGCCAAUCGUGAGCAGAAGGCGAUUGUUGAUGACAAAUUUCAAGGCGGAGGAAACUUCCACCGUAUCUACUGGAGAGGUGACCGCCACAGCUGAGACCCUUGUUGGCGGACUUCUAAAAUCACUGCUACUUCAGGAAGAGCUUCCUGGCUCUUAGAAAAAGCGGCUGUGUACCCCGACUCGGCAAGAAUACGAGACCCUCAGAGAGUAUUACUUGGAUUAA